ACGGCCGUACCAUGAUGAAUAUACCGGUUCUCGUUAGAACACCGAAGUCAAGCAUCAUUGGGCGCGGUCAAAUACCACCUGGGAACACCGCGUGCCGUUG